rnacentral:lncRNA from 1 species
AGUGUGUUAUUGAGUCUCAAGGAAAUGAAAUACUGUAACAGUUCAGUGUGUUAUAGUGACUCCAGGAGGUGAACUACCGUAACAGUUCAGUGUGUUAUAGUGACUCCAGGAGGUGAACUACAGUAACAAUUCAGUGUGUUGUAGUGUCUCUAGGUGGUGAAGUACUGUAACAGUUCAGUGUGUUAUAGUGUCUCUAUCAAGUUAGUGAACUACUGUAACAGUUCAGUGUGUUAUAGUGUCUCUAGGAGGUGAAAUACUGUAACAGUUCAGUGUGUUAUAGUGUCUCUAUAAGUUGAAAUACUUUAACAGUUUAGUGUGUUAAGGUGUCUCUUGCAGGUCAACUCCUGUAACAGUUUAGUGUGUUAUAGUGUCUCUAGAAGGUGAACUACUGUAAGAGUUCAGUGUGUUAUAAUGUCUCUAGAAGGUGAACUACUGUAACAGUUCAGUGUGUUAUAGUGACUCCAGGAGGUGAACUACAGUAACAAUUCAGUGUGUUAUAGUGUCUCUAGGAGGUGAAAUACUGUAACAGUUCAGUGUGUUAUAGUGUCUCUAUAAGUUGAAAUACUUUAACAGUUUAGUGUGUUAAGGUGUCUCUUGCAGGUCAACUCCUGUAACAGUUUAUUGUGUUAUAGUGUCUCUAGAAGGUGAACUACUGUAACAGUUCAGUGUGUUAUAGUGUCACCAGCAGUUGAACAACUGUAACAGUUCAGUGUGUUAUAAUGUCUCUAGGAGGUGAACUACUGUAACAGUUCAGUGUGUUAUUUUGUCACCAGCAGGUGAACAAUUAUAACAGUUCAGUGUGUUAUAGUGACUCUAGGAGGUGAACUACUAUAACAGUUCAGGGUGUUAUUGAGUCUCAAGG